GAUUUGCGUUAGUGAUGGGAACGGCAUCCUUUUUUGUUUUAUUGCCUGAGGCUCUCGAAGGCAAGAAAGCAAAAAAGAUAUAGUGGACAGCACGGCCCAAA
rnacentral:sRNA from 1 species